UUGCAUUGCGUCGUGCCGGUUCUGUCGCGAAACUUCGACGGGCCAUAACUUCUUCGUUAUAACUCGGAUUUUGGCGUUCUUUAUAUGCACGGAAACCUUGUGACAUAUACUACAACUUGGUUAAGAUUAAUCCUUCUAGAUAAUCUUCCAUCAAAAAGUCAUUUUUGACGCUUAUUGUUUCUAAAUUGACUAGCCCUGAUCUACGGGCGUUACAAUUAUCUCCCCCUUAGGAUGAUUACGUCCCGGAAUCAUCAACGAAAUAGGAUUCGCAUACUGACUCCAUAAGUUAUCUUUCCAUUCUAAGUAAUAACCUUGAUGCUCAAUCCUGCAUCUGCUCUUCGUACUAUCUUGGACUUUCAAUCAUAACCUUCGAGUUACAAAAUAAGUCCUUAUUGCGAACUCUUUCUUCUUCUUAGGAUAAAUAUAUUCCUUUAUCCAAUGUAACAAACCGAUGGGUCGUGCUCUAUCGACCUCUCAUCGCACGAUGCGACGCUUAGACUCGGUCUUUAAUAAAGUUAAAUUCCAGAAUGGAAUAUACCUUCCUUCAUAUUCUAAUGCGAUAUAAUCACAUUUCAGCAUGUAGCAUUUCUGCCUACAAACUUCUUUUAACAACGAGAGCGACACUAUCAAUCGCAUUAACUUCAACCUUCUGACUUAAGUCAGAUGUUACAUCUAACUCGGUCCUCUAGACCACGUACAUACUCCUCGCCGUCGAACUCAAAUUAAACAUGACCACUAGGGUCGGAACAAGAACCAUCUUACUAGUCAUCACCGAAACAAUGGUAAUGACAUACCAGAAUAAAAUGGAAUCAAUCACUAGUUUCUUGGUAACCUUGCGACUUUCCCUGAUCCAAGUGCGAGUCCUGUGCUUCCGGUAGUAUAUGCAUCUACUACCUUUCACACCUACUCAUACUCGUCCCAAGUAUUGCCUCGUAGUCGACCAAGUCACCAUGCAAGAAAAUCAGACAAUCAUUCAACACAUCAGUUAACAAAACUAGGGUUUAUAUUAAUUCCUUGAAACGGUUACACAAAAGUUCAAGUUCACCCUAUACUAUGCCUCUAAUAGGCUACACCACAUGUUACUUUUCAUAUCGCUACUUUAUAACUUGAUCUUUAGAUAUAAGAUCCUUAUUCCUGAUUCCUUGCAUUGCCAUCUGCUUCAUCAAGGAUCAUUUGAAAUGCUCUUGCCUUUAGCUUUGGCGGCGCCUCUAGCCUUGCUGUUUGAUUUUUCCUUGGGCAGUCUUGCUUGAAGUGCCCCUCUUCGUUACAUUCGUAACACACCUUUUUGUUGAAAAUACAUUCAUCGGCGUAAUGCCCAUGCUUUCCACACUUGAAACAUGUCACUUCCACGCCACAUUUUCCUGAGUGCUUCUUCUUGCACUUAUCGCACCACCGUGCCUCAUCCCUUCCUCCUCCUCCAGACUUCGAGGAUUUUCUUUUCUCAUUAGAACCUGAAGUUCCUUCUAACUUUCUCUUCUCACCAACUUCAACCUUACUGUCAGUCCUCCCCUUGAUCAUAUUCUCAACAGACUUGGCAGCCCAAAUAGCUGCCUCUAGAGUAGGUGCCUGACGCACUGGCACCGCAUACUCCCAAGGGAGUCCCUUGGCAUACCGAUCGACUUUUGUCAGUUCGUCUGGAACGAUGCGUAAAGCAAACUCCAUCUUGUCUGUGAAAGCAUUAGUGUAUUCAUCCACUGACAUGCUGCCUUUCUUCAAUAUCAGAAACUUAUUCUCCAACUCCAAUAGAUUUUGAGCAGAGCAGAACUUGCGCUUGAAUUGCACCAAGAACUCUGCCCAGGUCAGUUGCAGUGGCUCAUUAGGACUUAGGAUCUUCCCCAAAGUGUUCCACCAACGAACAGCCCCACCCCUGAACUGACGCACUGCAUAGGUAGUCUGCAACUUGCCUCUGCAGCCACAAGUCAUGAAGGCUAGCUCCAUUUCCGAUAUCCAAUCCAUAACUCCGAUCGGAUCUUCCUUUCCAGUGAAGGUCGAUGGUUUGCAAGUCAGAAAAUCCUUAUACUUGCAUCCCAUUCCAUCGUUCCUUCCAUUCUGGUUGUUUUGCCUAACUAUCGGUGGGUUGGCUUGACCAACAGACCCACUGAAGUUUCCACCUUCCGAGUGCCCUUCAUUUAAUUCAGGCUCUUCCACUCGAAUUGACAGUUCUUCACGAUUCUGCUGAAGCAACCGUCUAGUUUCAUCCAUCUGACGAUCCAACAUCGUCUGAAUCAUCAUUUGCACACCAGCCAUGGUUAUUGGCUCAGGUGCUGCUGCUACGACAGGUAUUUGCUCAAUCACUGGUGGUUGAUUCCUGUUUUCAUCAGCAUUUCCAACUCCACUUCUUGUUCUCACCAUUUUUGAUCUACACACCAAAUAAGGUGAAAUUAUAUCCUCAAUCACGAUAGAUAUUCACAUCGCCCUUAUCACUCCGAAACGUUUACAUGCUAGUUCUAAUAUCGUAGACGUACGCUUAGAAUCCUAAACACAUAAGGUUUCCAGAUCCGGUCGGCAACAGACCAUAGAUCCGAACAAAUAAUAGCAUCAAUUUAGCUAUCACACAAAACAUUUAGCACAUAAAAGCAUUUUAGGCAUCAUUCCUAAAAUGAACUAGUGCUUGUGUCAAUUUAGGUGUACUACCUAACAUAUUUUAGACACACUCCUCACAAUCAUUACUUAGCAUUCUAAGUUUAAGUCUAGAAAUUUCCUACAAAUUCCUAGUUCGCUUAAACUAAUGCUCUGAUACCAACUGUGACAUCCCCAUUUUCACGGCCAGAAAAGACCGAUUUGUUUAUGCUUUGUUUUAUAAAUCAGAGUGAUCGUUUAAAGAAAACGGUUGCGGAAUUUGUUCCCAAAAUAAAAUAUGAUAACCAUUUAUCAAAACGUUUCUCAAAGAGAAUGUAUUUUCAUUAAAUAAUAAAACCUCGGGAUGUCAUGUUCCGAUACAGACCAAAAGCAUAAACAAUAAUAAAUAGACCUUACAACAGUUAUUCAUAACUACUGGCCUAUAAUCCAAAAUCUCUCGUCAAGUCCACCAACUUAUACUCUUGUGCCAUUACCUGUAAUGCAAAGAAAACUGAGUGGGUCAGGCUUGGGAGCCUGGUGAGCAUAUAGGGUUUUCAACCCACAAUAAUACAAUUAUUAUAUUCAACCAUCAAACAAUCAACUCAAUUAUUCAUCCCUAUUAUGUUUCUUAGGAUUUUACCCUAGGAAUUCAACUACUCGUCAUUCCUUCAUUCCUAAGGAUUGACCUAAGGGAUUUACACAAACUUCCAUUGCUACAUAAGGCGCAUCUGCCAACAUUAUCCUUUAAGCGCCUCUGCCAGGAUUACGUCAUACACUAUGAGGCGCGAUUGCCAGGUUUAUGACAUUCUCUUUUAGGCGCAUCCGCCGACAUUAUCUUAUAAGCGCAUCUGCCAAGAUUACCCUAUAAGCGCAUCCGCUAUUAUUAUGACAAUCUUUAUUUGGCGCAUCUGCCAACAAUAUCCUAUAAGCGCAUCUGCUAGGAUCACUCUAUAAGCGCAUCUGCUUUUAUUAUGACAAUCUCUAUUUGGCGCAUCUGCCGACAUUAUCCUAUAAGCGCAUCUGCUAGGAUUACGACAUUCACUACUUGGUGCAUCUACCGAUAUUAUUCUACAGCACAUCUGCUAGUCUUAUGACAUUCUUUAAUUGGUGCAUCUACCAAUAUCAUUCUUAAUCAUCUUUCAUACCUCAUCAUUUCAUCACAUACCAACUAUCUCAUCUACCCAUGUUCUACCCAACAUAUUUGUAGAUCUAGAAUACACAUACAGUUUAUCUCAUUUUAAAACUAUAUAAAACAUUCAUGCCAUACUCAUCUCAAAUAAACAACAAUAUAUAAACACAUAGCACGUAUUUUAUACCAAAUACUUCAUAUUUAUGUGUUAGAAGAAAGUAACCAUACACUCUGCCAAACGUACACUUAAUACAUUCAAACAAUACUUGUAUUAUACCCGUGUUUAUGAAAGGGACUAUACAUCCAUCCAUAUAAACAACUUUAUAUUAUCCACGUAGCACGUAUUUCAACGAAAAUACUUAAUAAUUAUGCGUUAGAAGAAAAUAACUACACACUCACACUUAUAAACAACAAUACUCUUAAUACACUCAAACCAAACUCGUAUUAUUAUUGUGUUUAUGAAAGGUAGUAUACACUCACUUGAUCAGAAGAUGAUCGGACAGCACUACGACUUGCAGAAGUAGUAAUCCUCAGCAGAUCUGGAAGAUCUCUUCAAAAAUCGAACUUCUCGCGGGCAGAGCUUCGGCUCGGGAACCGCACUUCUCGGGAUCUUCGGGAUCUCGGGACUUGCUUCGGGGCUUGAGAACAAUACCGGGGCUUCGGGGUAUUUCUGGCACGCAAACCGAUGCAAAAUGGGAGAAAGAAGAGGAGAAAUUGGCAAAACUAUCGGCUGCCUUCGGAUUCCUUUUAUAGAGGCUGAGCCUCGCACGUACGCGGGGCGUACGCCAGUACGCGGGGCGUACUGGUCCGAAAAACGUCACUGCGUUCGUCAUCCGAAGCCACUUGCUGCGAUGUCGACACUUUCGGAGUACGCGGGGCGUACUCGAGUACGCGGCGCGUACCUCGGAUCAGACCGGUGACUCCUUCGGAUAAUGCUUCCGAAUUAAAGAUUAAAAAUAAAUACAAAUUAUUUAAUAAUCUUCGGAAAUUCAUAUCUUCUUCAUACGAACUCCGUUUUCGACGUUCUUUAUAUCCACGCGAAGGUGAGACUACGCUCUACAACUUUCGUUUAGACUCCGUCGGCUAAUUUUGACUUUAUUUUUAUUAAUUAUUUUUAAUAGGCCGCGACAUAAACUUUCGUUAUAAAUUCAUAACUUCUUCGUUUGACGUCCGUUCUCGCCUAACUUUUUAUCGCUUCGAUACCAACAAUGAGAUCUUCGAUUCUCAUUUAGAUUGCUUCGGCUAAAUACCGCUCUAACGUAAAUUCACUUUUUACGUUGCAUUGCGUCGUGCCGGUUCUGUCGCGAAACUUCGACGGGCCAUAACUUCUUCGUUAUAACUCGGAUUUUGGCGUUCUUUAUAUGCACGGAAACCUUGUGACAUAUACUACAACUUGGUUAAGAUUAAUCCUUCUAGAUAAUCUUCCAUCAAAAAGUCAUUUUUGACGCUUAUUGUUUCUAAAUUGACUAGCCCUGAUCUACGGGCGUUACAAUUAUCUCCCCCUUAGGAUGAUUACGUCCCGGAAUCAUCAACGAAAUAGGAUUCGCAUACUGACUCCAUAAGUUAUCUUUCCAUUCUAAGUAAUAACCUUGAUGCUCAAUCCUGCAUCUGCUCUUCGUACUAUCUUGGACUUUCAAUCAUAACCUUCGAGUUACAAAAUAAGUCCUUAUUGCGAACUCUUUCUUCUUCUUAGGAUAAAUAUAUUCCUUUAUCCAAUGUAACAAACCGAUGGGUCGUGCUCUAUUGACCUCUCAUCGCACGAUGCGACGCUUAGACUCGGUCUUUAAUAAAGUUAAAUUCCAGAAUGGAAUAUACCUUCCUUCAUAUUCUAAUGCGAUAUAAUCACAUUUCAGCAUGUAGCAUUUUUGCCUACAAACUUCUUUUAACAACGAGAGCGACACUAUCAAUCGCAUUAACUUCAACCUUCUGACUUAAGUCAGAUGUUACAUCUAACUCGGUCCUCUAGACCACGUACAUACUCCUCGCCGUCGAACUCAAAUUAAACAUGACCACUAGGGUCGGAACAAGAACCAUCUUACUAGUCAUCACCGAAACAAUGGUAAUGACAUACCAGAAUAAAAUGGAAUCAAUCACUAGUUUCUUGGUAACCUUGCGACUUUCCCUGAUCCAAGUGCGAGUCCUGUGCUUCCGGUAGUAUAUGCAUCUACUACCUUUCACACCUACUCAUACUCGUCCCAAGUAUUGCCUCGUAGUCGACCAAGUCACCAUACAAGAAAAUCAGACAAUCAUUCAACACAUCAGUUAACAAAACUAAGGUUUAUAUUAAUUCCUUGAAACGGUUACACAAAAGUUCAAGUUCACCCUAUACUAUGCCUCUAAUAGGCUACACCACAUGUUACUUUUCAUAUC
rnacentral:lncRNA from 1 species